rnacentral:rRNA from 1 species
UACGUAGGGUGCAAGCGUUACUCGGAAUUACUGGGCGUAAAGCGUGCGCAGGCGGUUAUGUAAGACAGAUGUGAAAUCCCCGGGCUCAACCUGGGAACUGCAUUUGUGACUGCAUAGCUAGAGUACGGUAGAGGGGGAUGGAAUUCCGCGUGUAGCAGUGAAAUGCGUAGAUAUGCGGAGGAACACCGAUGGCGAAGGCAGCCUCCUGGGCCAGCACUGACGCUCAUGCACGAAAGCGUGGGGAGCAAACAGG